rnacentral:rRNA from 1 species
AUUGAACGCUGGCGGCAGGCCUAACACAUGCAAGUCGAACGAGUGGCGGACGGGUGAGUAAUGUCUGGGAAACUGGCUGAUGGAGGGGGAUAACUACGGGAAACGGUAGCUAAUACCGCAUACCAUCAGAUGUGCCCAAAUGGGAUUAGCUAGUUGGUGAGGUAAAGGCUCACCAAGGCGACGAUCCCUAGCUGGUCUGAGAGGAUGACAAGCCACAUUGGAACUGAGACACGGUCCAGACUCCUACGGGAGGCAGCAGUGGGGAAUAUUGCACAAUGGGGGCAAGCCGGACGCAGCCAUGCCGCGUGUAUGAAGAAGGCCUUCGGGUUGUAAAGUACUUUCAGUGGGGAGGCGUUACCCACAGAAGAAGCACCGGCUAACUCCGUGCCAGCAGCCGCGGUAAUAC